CACGAGUAAACCAACUUUCAAAACAAACUUAAGUAAGUACCUACAUAUAAAAAUGUGUCGAUUCAAUGAAAGUCAUUUUAAUUGAUCGUAUUUGAACUUAAACUGUUGAAGUAGACGUUAUAAUGACUACGUGUAAAGAACAAUGUAUCCAGAGUAGAUGUAUCGUGCAAGAAAAAGAACAAAGUCAAGGAAAUGGUUGUUGCAACGAUGAUGUUAUUCAAACAGAUGCCUGUGGUGGUGUCAAAAUUGAUGCGAAACAAAUGAAGGAACUUCGUAGAAUUGCAGCUUGCAUGCAGAAGUGUUUAUCAAAGGGAUCUGGAGAUUGUGGUAGCUGCGAUUGUUAAUAGAUACCUACCUACGUAUUUCAAAAUAUGUUCGUCGUCGACAAUAUACCUAUUUACUACUCGUAUAUUUUACAGUAGAAAUUGUUAUGAACGUAAUAUUUUUGAAUGUUCAUUGUUGAAAUAUAUAUUCUGCAAUAAAGAUGUUGUUUGCAUACACUA